UGAUUUAGGGUGUUUCCGCCCUGUGAAUUUCCCUUUUUUAUUGCUUUUGGGCUCGAGGUAUUUAUUUAUAAUUAUUUAACGUGUACGCUCGUGAGCAUUGAAGAUAGCGGGUUAUUUUUUCUAAAUAGUUUGUCUUCUAAACAAUGGCUUGUGAACUUUGAUUGCUUCGCGUUGCGUUCUCGGCAUUGAGGAGACAGUGACCAGCUGAUUGGACUGAUUGCAAACAAUCAUCUGACUUGGCUGUGAUUUCAGUGGUUUGCGGUGCACUCACUUCUGCUGUGAAAUGUUUGUUUGUUGUGUCUUGUAAUUGGGGUGCGGUGACGACUUGCAGGUGCCAAAGAUAGGACAAUGCCAAAGCGAUUCCAUUACAAACUCAAAUACAGGUUUGCAGGCUCAAUGUGCUACUGAUGGGGGUGGGUGUGGCUACUUUCUUUUAUACAUACAUGGGUUCUCAGUGUUUAACACAAUGUUAUGAGGAGGGGCAAGACACUGGCAGCCAACCACGUGAGUUAAAUUUUUGACCGACAGCGGUUUCCAACAAUCAGAGGUUGAGUUGUGCGCAGCUAAGCUUGUGCAGUCAGGUUAUAAACAAAAUUUAGAACUCAUGUAUAGGGAUCUAGAGAGAAGACCAGAUGUGACCAGACAGAGAAGAGACAGCACGGCGGAGAGGUCACAGCAGAGAAGGUGGAACAGAACGGAGGGCACGCCAUUGGAUUGUGGUUUCCACACAGGGUACGCAACGCUCUCAAUCCUGCAUCUGGGUCGUGGCUAAGCCACACCCACGCAACGUAAGUACGCUUUUGAAAUACUUAGCGUACUAAAUAUUCUGCUGGCUGUGAAGGCUCUUCCCACUGCUGAGACCCUUUCUCUUUCUUUCCCCAUUGGAGGCAUCGGCCAGUGCCAGUGAAGUAAGGAGCAGAAACCGACUGCUGGAAGGGACGGUAACCUGGGCUUGUUGUGCUAAGCUCACUGCUUCUGCUGCUGACCCCUUGCUGCUUCUGCUGCUUACUCGCUUGCUGACUCUACUGAUGCUGUCGUUUGCUGCUCUAUUUAGUUGCUUUGCACAAACUGGGGUUUUAAUUUGGACUUGAUUGGACUUCCAUUUUAGCAUUGGACAUUUAGGUGCAUCUAACAUGGAAGGUUCCCGCUUCAAUAAUGAACUGUUACAAGUUAAAUUGUAACUUGAACUUUUUUGUCAGCUCGCGACUCUUCAGCACACCUGCAACUUUGUCUGGUCACGGACAAACACAAAGAAAAGAAAGAAACCAAGCUGAAGCAGAAGCAGCAACAGAAGUAGCAGAAGGUGUGUGUCUGGCUGUGGCAGUCCACCCAUCAGGUCCUGAAGUCUACAUGGGAAUCCCAAAUGCUGCCAGGCUCAACGGAGGAGGAGGAGGAGGAGGAGGAGGAGGAGGAGGAGGAGG